GCUGGGUGUGGUGGCGCACACCUGUAAUCUCAGCUACUUGGGAGGCUGAGGCAGGAGAAUCACUUGAACCCAGGAGGCAGAGGUUGCAAUGAACCGAGAUUGCGCCACUGCACUGCCGCCUGGGUGACAGAGUGAGACUGUGUCUCAA
rnacentral:SRP_RNA from 1 species